ensembl:lncRNA
GAACCUGGGAGGUGGGGGUUGCGGUGAGCUGAGAUCGCCACUGCACUCCAGCCUGGGCCACAGAGCGAGACUCGGUGUCAAAAAAAUAAAAAAUAGAAGCUAUCUGGGUGUGGUCCUUGGGUCAGCAGCCUCAUCAUCACCUAGGAGCUUGAUGGAAGUCCAGGCACUGAGAUCCAUCCCAGAUCUACUGAGCCAGAAUCUGCAGUUAGCAGGAUUCCUGGAGAAUCACAUGCACCUUUGGACUUGAGAAUCACUAGGCUGGGAGACCAACAGGUAUGGCAAAACUGCCAAGUUGCCAUAGGGAAUCCUGGGAGGCCCUGGGGUUCCAGACACUGACCCAGAUUCCUGGCUUCUUAUCUAGUCUCUCCAUUUAUGGAAAGUGAUGAGUGUUCAGAGAUAGGAGGUAACUUUCCCAACGUCACCCAGCAAGACAGGAGCAGAGCUGGCAUAGGAUCUCAGACUUUUGGUGUCCUCUUCCUCAGCUUUAAUCCCCAAGGCCAUCAGGGGAUCCCAGGGCUGCAGAAACCACAGGCUGGGCCGGGGCCAAGCAGGAGUCUCCUGAAGCUCCAUCAUCCUCAUUAAUCUCCCAACCUCAGAACGGGUUGUUUUCCUGAGAGGAACAAUCAGUGCCUUUGGGGACAACAGAACCCCUGGGAGGGGGACUCUGAGAAGGCCCUGGGCUGCACAACGUAGAUGGUGUCCUGCCAGCUCCCAAAAGAACAAUCUUUCUUGGCAAGCUCAUGGGGAUGCAUUCCCGGCAGUGUGAGUCGGAAUGGCAGGGUUACCAGGGAGCCUGGGAUCUCCCUGGGGAUGCCAGAGGGAACCCGAGGCACAGUGCCAGAGGAGGAUGAGCACUGAGCUGAGAGUCCACGGACCAGGAGCCUGGCCCAACACUGCUGCUGAUGGUUUUCAACCAUCUACUUCAUGUGCAGAAAACACUAAUAACUAUUGCUUAUAUUCUGCUUCUGUCCAUGAGCUCCAUGACUCUAACUGUGGCUAUGACACAGUCCUGGAAUUCAGAAUCCCAGAGUCCAAGUCUCUGCUCUGUCAUCAGUAACCCUGAGAUCUAGGCCCUGGAUUCUAGACUAAGGGGCUCAGCAUCUCUGAGCCUUAGUUUCUGCUUCUUUGAAAUGGGUAUGAUCACACACCUACCACAGUGGCAAAACCUAUAAUGAUUGACUGUAUCAAAUGUCGCUGGAAACAUGGAGCAACAGAGGCUCUCAUGUGUUGCUGGUGGGAGUGUGAAAUGGAACAGCCAUUUUGGAAAAAGUUUUGGCAGUUUCGAGUAAAGCAAAACCUACACCUACCCUAUGGCCCAGCAAUCCCACUCCACGUAAGAGAAACAGAAAUAUAUAGGAGAUCGAGAUCAUCCUGGCUAACACGGUAAAACUCCAUCUCUACUAAAAAAUACAAAAAUUAGCCAGGUGUGGUGGCACAUGCCUGUAGUCCCAGCUACUCGAGAGGCUGAGGCAGGAGAAUCGCUUGAACCCGGGAGGCAGAGGUUGCAGUGAGCCGAGAUUUCACCACUGCACUCCAGCCUGGGUGACAGAGUGAGACUUCAUCUCAAAAAAAAAAAA